GUCGGCGCUCAUGAAGGCGAUGAGCUCUGCAAAAGCCACCACAAUACUCAGGAGGGUCCAGAGCAUCGAGCGACAGUCGUCCCUUCCCGUGCUCUCGCACUGCGCUGGUUCCCUUAUCGCCGGGCAGCACAACUCCAGGCCAGUGCCCGUUCCCGCACCCACCCCAGGCGCACCCUUUGGCACAGGAGCUCAUGCCCGAGCUGCUGCACCCUUGGGAUGUGUGGCUCCUGCUCCAUCAUCUCUCACUCGAAAACGUCAAACGGCAGGGAGAUCCAGCAACAACUAGAUGGGACUUCCAGUCAACCUUGCCAACAGACUGGCUAUGUUUUUUAAGAGCUUACGGGACCCUCUGCCUGCUGUCUUGGGUGAUUUCUGGACCAAAAAAACUACACUAAUUAAAACUCAAGAAGAGGAAAAGAAAACCUUGAAGAGUUCAUGACUUAGUCAUUUGGGGAAAUUAUUCAAAACAGAGGCAUGAAUGACCACUGACUAAGUGUCAUUACCACUGAGUGGACUUGUUGACAACAGAAACUUGCGUAUGAAGAAUGUGUUCCUUGAACUGUCCCGAUUCAUCCCAUGCGCCUCUGCCUGAGCUUUGAUUCACCCCAGGUCUGCAACUCAACAUGCCCAUUGUUUCUGGUCUCACAAGGGCUCAUUCUGUUCCCAGGGACAAAUGGCUUCAUAACCAGAGGGCUUUGCUCUAACAGCUCAAAUCUCUUUCAGAGGGGCCUGAACCCUGAAACAGGGGUACAGUGCUCAUCGGCAGCCCCAUCUGCUACCCCUUCUCCAAGGUCAGAAAGAAUCGCACAGUUCACAUCUGACAUCUGGGUGCAAGGCUCUGUUCUGAGUGAUGACAUCUUAUUAACUGAGGUCACGUCAACUGCACAAGAACCACAAAGAGCCCUCUGGCAUGCUGGCAGUGGGGUGGGGCCAGGAGAUGUUGAAGAGGAAGGCAAGUGGGGAAAGAAGGAAGCCCAGAGUCAAAGCUUCAAAGCUUCUACACCAUGCUGGUUGACAAGGUGUAGCGAC